rnacentral:rRNA from 1 species
CCUACGGGAGGCAGCAGUGAGGAAUAUUGGUCAAUGGACGAGAGUCUGAACCAGCCAAGUAGCGUGAAGGAUGAAUGCCCUAUGGGUUGUAAACUUCUUUUAUAAAGGAAUAAAACGAGGCACGUGUGCCUUUUUGCAUGUACUUUAUGAAUAAGGAUCGGCUAACUCCGUGCCAGCAGCCGCGGUAAUACGGAGGAUCCGAGCGUUAUCCGGAUUUAUUGGGUUUAAAGGGAGCGUAGAUGGGUUGUUAAGUCAGUUGUGAAAGUUUGCGGCUCAACCGUAAAAUUGCAAUUGAUACUGGCAGUCGUGAGUACAGUUGAGGUAGGCGGAAUUCGUGGUGUAGCGGUGAAAUGCUUAGAUAUCACGAAGAACCCCGAUUGCGAAGGCAGCUUACUAAACUGUGACUGACAUUGAUGCUCGAAAGUGUGGGUAUCAAACAGGAUUAGAUACCCGGGUAGUC